ensembl:snRNA U6 U6 spliceosomal RNA
GUGCUUGCUUUGGAAAUACAUAUAAUAAAUUUGGAAUGAUAAAGAGAGAUUAGUAUGACCCCUGCUCAAGGAUGACAUACAAAUUUGUGAAGUAUUCCAUAUUUAU